AGCGAUAGCUGGUUAUUCAAGAAAAGAAUUUAAGUUCAACCUAAAGUUACUAUAUUUACCAUAAAAAACCCCAUAACUUUAGAGCUAUUCAAAUAAGGUACAGCUUGUUUGAACUAGGAUACAACCUAUAUUAAUGGGUAACCACGAGACUUCCUCAUCUAAGUAGGCCUAAGAGCAGCCACCUUAAAAAGCGUCAAAGCUUACCUGCACCUCUCUCGAAUCCCCUCAACCCUAACUAACCCUUUAACUUUACUGAAUACUUCUAUACCACUAUAGAACCUUUUAUGUUAAAACUAGUAACAAGAAGAAGCCCUUCUCUUCAAUGCAAACUUAAGUCAAAAAAGACAAUAACGACACUUAAUAGCUCAAAAUAGUAACUCCACUAGAAAAUUCUAUUCCCCACCCUAUUAACCUAACACAAGAGCAUCAAAAGAAAGAUUAAAAGAAAAAGAAGGAACUCGGCAAUUAUUGACCUCGCCUGUUUACCAAAAACAUCGCCUCUCGAAUCCAUGAGAGGUCCAGCCUGCCCAGUGACCCUGUUCAACGGCCGCGGUAUCCUAACCGUGCGAAGGUAGCGUAAUCACUUGUCUUUUAAAUAAAGACUAGUAUGAAAGGCAUCACGAAGGUCUAACUGUCUCCUUUUUCCAAUCAAUGAAACUAAUCUCCUCGUGAAGAAGCGAGGAUAAACCUAUAAGACGAGAAGACCCUAUGGAGCUUUAAAUAUAGUAACAUUUGCUUAUACCACAUCACUUUCAGAAUACCCUCACUAAUAGCAUAUUAAUUACAAAUUUUAGGUUGGGACGACCACGGAGAAUAACUAAUCCUCCAUGUUGAACUGGAUAACACCCUAAUCAACAAGCCACUACUUUAUGAAUCAAUAAAUUGACUCCCAUUGACCCAAUAAAAUUGAUCAACGAACCAAGUUACCCUAGGGAUAACAGCGCAAUCUGCUUUAAGAGCCCCUAUCGACAAGCAGGUUUACGACCUCGAUGUUGGAUUAGGGUGUCCCAGUGGUGCAGCCACUACUAAAGGUUCGUUUGUUCAACGAUUAAAACCCCACAUGAUCUGAGUUCAGACCGGAGUAAUCCAGGUCAGUUUCUAUCUAUAAACCAGGGCUUUUUCCAGUACGAAAGGACCAAAAAAGCAUGGCCAAUUUUUAAUAAAGCCAUUAUCAACUAUUUUUGUUUACUUAAAAAAUAAUUGACCUCCUACCUAUCUCAAAAGAAGAGUAGUUAUUGUAGCAAAACUGGCCCUG
rnacentral:rRNA from 1 species